GUUUGUGAUCCUCUUGCUUCUGUUUCCUAGAGUGUUGGGAACAAAUCACACUUUCAAUGAGUAACAUAUUAAGAGUCCAGAAGUAUGUUGUCCUCUGUCCCUAUGGUAAUCUUUCACUAUCUCAGUAUUAAUCUGUGUACACUGGGGAAAAACUGGUGAACAAAAUUGAACUUACAACAUCCUAUUGGAGACAAUACAGAGGCACCAAACAGCCAGUUGACAUAAUUCAAGUCCUUGCUAUGAUCAGACCAGUCCUGUGUUUCUGUCCCGAAGCCAUACUCUCAGUGAGAAUGUUCCAGCAAGCUACUCAGCAUGCGAAGAAGAAUGCCGUUGGAACCAUUUGAUUUUUGGAAUGCUAUCAAUUUUAAUGCGAGUGGGCAAAGAGAACAAAAGAAAUGUAAUCAUACCUUGAACAAGAUCUUUGAUCACUUAAUUGAUGAAUUAAAGACUCAAAGGCCAUGCACCAGG
rnacentral:lncRNA from 1 species